AUUGAACGCUGGCGGCAUGCCUUACACAUGCAAGUCGAACGGCAGCAUGAUCUCGCUUGCUAGAUUGAUGGCGAGUGGCGAACGGGUGAGUAAUACAUCGGAACGUGCCCUGUAGUGGGGGAUAACUAGUCGAAAGAUUAGCUAAUACCGCAUACGACCUGAGGGUGAAAGUGGGGGACCGCAAGGCCUCAUGCUAUAGGAGCGGCCGAUGUCUGAUUAGCUAGUUGGUGAGGUAAAGGCUCACCAAGGCGACGAUCAGUAGCUGGUCUGAGAGGACGAUCAGCCACACUGGGACUGAGACAGGGCCCAGACUCCUACGGGAGGCAGCAGUGGGGAAUUUUGGACAAUGGGCGAAAGCCUGAUCCAGCAAUGCCGCGUGUGUGAAGAAGGCCUUCGGGUUGUAAAGCACUUUUGUCCGGAAAGAAAUGGCUCUGGUUAAUACCUGGGGUCGAUGACGGUACCGGAAGAAUAAGGACCGGCUAACUACGUG
rnacentral:rRNA from 1 species